rnacentral:rRNA from 1 species
GCGUCCCAUUAGCUUGUUGGUAGGGUAACGGCCUACCAAGGCUACGAUGGGUAGCUGGUCUGAGAGGAUGAUCAGCCACACUGGAACUGACACACGGUCCAGACUCCUACGGGAGGCAGCAGUGAGGAAUUUUGCGCAAUGGGGGAAACCCUGACGCAGCAACGCCGCGUGAGUGAUGAAGGCCUUCGGGUCGUAAAGCUCUGUCAAGUGGGAAGAACCUGUGAACGGCCAAUACCCGUUUACACUGACGGUACCACUGAAGGAAGCACCGGCUAACUCCGUGCCAGCAGCCGCGGUAAUACGGGGGGUGCAAGCGUUACUCGGAAUCAUUGGGCGUAAAGGGCGCGUAGGCGGCCCGGUAAGUCAGGUGUGAAAGCCCGGGGCUCAACCCCGGAAGUGCAUUUGAUACUGCCAGGCUUGAGUAUGGGAGAGGGAAGUGGAAUUCCUGGUGUAGAGGUGAAAUUCGUUGAUAUCAGGAGGAACACCGGUGGCGAAGGCGACUUCCUGGACCAAUACUGACGCUGAGGCGCGAAGGCGUGGGGAGCAAACAGGAUUAGAUACCCUGGUAGUCCACGCAGUAAACGUUGUUCACUAGGUGUAGCGGGUAUUGACCCCUGCUGUGCCGAAGCUAACGCAUUAA